rnacentral:lncRNA from 1 species
UCCCUUUCCUUUCUCCCUCUUCCUUUCUCCCUCCCCAUUACUCUCCCUGUGCACUCCUGCCCUUCUUAAAAUGUUUCUUUUCUUUUGAAAGUUGAAAAUAAAUGAUUGAUAGCAGCAAGCUACUUGGCUGCUCUGCCUCAAUCCUCUGUUCCUAGUAACAGAUUCAAUCCUGUUUUCAGCUGUUCUAAGGAAGUCUGAGACUUGCAUGUGUUGCAAUUUCCAAGCAGAGGGAAGCAGGAGAACAUGGAAAGGAAGAACUUCAUAAUCAACAUUUUUGACUUUCCUGAUAAAAC